GCCGCGGUGAGUCCCGGCCGAGCAGCUGCGGCCCGGGAGCCUCGGGCGCGGCGGGCGGGGGGCGCGGGGCGCCGAUUGGAGCCCGCGCGUCAGCUGGGGCCGCCGUCUGGACGCUUAAAGGGCCAGGCCGCCCUGCGUGCUGGCUGGGGGCGCGGACGCGCGCCGUCUCGAUGCGGCUGCCCUCGGGAGAGCCUCGGGGUCCCCCGGCCGACCCGGCUGGUGACGUGGGAACGUUUGGACUUGCGACCCCACCCUCCCGCGCCGAGCCCCUCUCGGCCCUUCUCUGCUGGGAACUUGGGCCGGGAGUCUAACCCGGGUGUCCUCCGGCUGCUCUGCAGGGGCGGGGCCAGGGUAGGCGUGAGGUCGCUGAGCUGAGCGCGCCGCCCCCCGACCCACCUGCUCCCCUGAGUCAGGCGACCGGGAGGCCCCGAGCCCCGCACCCCAGCCGCGCUCACCUCCCGCUCCCUGUGACCCCGGCCGCUCCGACUUGGGGGUGUUUUGCCUGCAUGUAUGUCUACAUCACUGGCAUGCUUGGUAAGCAGAGGCCAGGAGUUGAAUCCUCUGGAACUGGAGUUAUGAUUGUGAGCUGCCAUGCUGGUUUUUCCAACUGAACCUGGAUCCUCGGGAAGAGCAGCCCAUCUAAGCCCCCACAUCCCUCACAGGGCUGGGCCCAUGCCUUUCUCUGGCUGAUUAAAGAAGUGAGAUGAUGACCCAGUACUGUCCAGCUCACCAAGCAGGCUGUCAUCAGGUACAGAUAAAGUUCCGUGAAGUCUACAAAGACCACAACCGACUUCCUUGGUAUCCUCUCUCUUGACUAUGUGGGGGCAAGGCCUCAUGUAGCCCAGGCUGACUUUUAGUGGAUCAUCCUGCCUCCAUCUUCCAAGUGCUGGGACUACAGGUUUGUGAGACCAAAACCAGCUAAUCUUUCUUUUUAAGUUUAAUUUUUUAAAGAGUCUUACUAUGCAGCCCUGUCUGGCCUUGAAGUCAACAGAGUGCUGGGGUUAAAGGUGUGCACUACCCUACCACACCUGGCAUUUUCUUUAAAUAUUAAAGCACCCACAUUUGACAAUUUUCAGUUUCCCAACUUGGGGAAACACUAUUUAGAAAACUCAGUUAUCUGCAAUCAAGGCGGCAGGUUCCUAGGCUCACCGCACUUGCCCAGCAGCUCCUCACCUGUGUGUUACAUGUCAUGGUCUGUCUGAGGAGGUGAAUGAUGAUGAGGUGCCACAGUCAGAUGCCUUGCUCCUAAGCAGAACAUUUGAGGCUGGCAUUGCAUACUCUUUCCUCGGCUGAGGACAGCAAGAGGAGACCUGGAGGUGCAUCCCACCAGAGGGUAUGUUUCUGCCAGGCUCUCCCAGGUCCCUCCUGCGCACAAGUCUCUUCACUUGGCUGUGUCAGAAACUGAGUCUGAGCAAAGAAAGACCAAGUAGGCAGACUUAAACUCAGCAUGGAUUUUCAUUUCCACAAGAUCCUUUUCAAGUUGUAGAGAAAUUUAAUAGAAGUAUAUACAAAUUAGACACUGCUAGUAUGUACAAAAGUAUUUUCUACAUUUUUGAACAAUAUCAACUAUGCCACUUGCAGUAAACAGGAUGUUACAAAAUCGUUCAAUAAAGCAUUUUCUAUUAAGCACA